rnacentral:rRNA from 1 species
GACGAACGCUGGCGGCGUGCCUAACACAUGCAAGUCGAGCGGAGUCGAUCGACGGAAGCCUUCGGGCGGAAGAUGGUUGACUUAGCGGCGGAUGGGUGAGUAACGCGUGGGCAACCUGCCUCGAAGACCGGGAUAACAGCCCGAAAGGGCUGCUAAUACCGGAUGUGGUCAAGGAUCCGCAUGGAUUUUUGAUUAAAGGGGAAACCCGUUUCGAGAUGGGCCCGCGUCCUAUCAGCUAGUUGGUGAGGUAAAAGCUCACCAAGGCGACGACGGGUAGCCGGCCUGAGAGGGUGACCGGCCACACUGGAACUGAGACACGGUCCAGACUCCUACGGGGGGCAGCAGUGGGGAAUCUUCCACAAUGGGCGAAAGCCUGAUGGAGCGACGCCGCGUGAGCGAAGAAGGCCUUGGGUUGUAAGCUCUGUCUGGAGGGACGAAGGAAGUGACGGUACCUCCGGAGGAAGCCACGGCUAACUACGUGCCAGCAGCCGCGGUAAAGAGUAGUA